rnacentral:rRNA from 1 species
GAGGCGUGGCUUCCGGAGCUAACGCGUUAAGUCGACCGCCUGGGGAGUACGGCCGCAAGGUUAAAACUCAAAUGAAUUGACGGGGGCCCGCACAAGCGGUGGAGCAUGUGGUUUAAUUCGAUGCAACGCGAAGAACCUUACCUACUCUUGACAUCCACGGAAUUCGGCAGAGAUGCCUUAGUGCCUUCGGGAACCGUGAGACAGGUGCUGCAUGGCUGUCGUCAGCUCGUGUUGUGAAAUGUUGGGUUAAGUCCCGCAACGAGCGCAACCCUUAUCCUUUGUUGCCAGCGAGUAAUGUCGGGAACUCAAAGGAGACUGCCGGUGACAAACCGGAGGAAGGUGGGGAUGACGUCAAGUCAUCAUGGCCCUUACGAGUAGGGCUACACACGUGCUACAAUGGCGCAUACAAAGAGAAGCGAACUCGCGAGAGCAAGCGGACCUCAUAAAGUGCGUCGUAGUCCGGAUCGGAGUCUGCAACUCGACUCCGUGAAGUCGGAAUCGCUAGUAAUCGUAGAUCAGAAUGCUACGGUGAAUACGUUCCCGGGCCUUGUACACACCGCCCGUCACACCAUGGGAGUGGGUUGCAAAAGAAGUAGGUAGCUUAACCUUCG